CCACAGUGCCUCCCUCAAACUGGAUAUAUUUCCAUUCAUUACUGCUCUCAGCUUACCAUGAUCCAGGCAGGCAAUGGAGAAGUCAAUGAGACACAGUCCUAUUGGGCUGAAAGAAAGCAAGCAUCCAUGUUGUGAGAUGCCUAUGGGGUUCAUGUGACAAGGAACUGUGGAUGAACUCUAGCAGCUGAGAGCAGUCCCUGGCUAUUUGAUAGCUAACAAAGAAACGGGGACCUCAGUCAUACAACUGCAAGGAAAUGAAUUCUGCCAACAACCAGAAAGGAGCAGUUUGCCUCUCUCUGUGAUUACCAAACCAGAGUGAAAGCCUUCAACUACGGACCACUGCAAUUUCCACCAUAACAGGCAACCCAGCAAUUAGAACUGUUUGUUACAGUGACAGCAGAGAGAACCAUUUUCAAGCAACAAGGCACAGGAGCAGGAGCUGGAGGAAGAGAGAGCCUGUUCAUUUGAAGGGGACUAACGCCACACAGCAGCUAAUCCUGGAAUGGCAGGCAGUUUUGGGAACUGCCUAUCCUGCAAAGGCUGAGAUAUUCACAGACAUUCUUGAACUUUUGGAAAUGGUCUAAUUCUGCUUUUUUCUGACCAGGAAUACAAUUGGGUCAUAAAAUUUGGCGUUUGGGAAGAGACAAAGGUUUAUCUUUAGUCCAGUGCAUAAUUUAAUUUCUUACUUCAAUAUUAAAAAUGAAAACAUAAAGGUAGGCACUUUCUUUUCAAAUUCUGGAUUUUAGUGAGUAUUUCGGUGCUCAGAAAACAUCUCACAAUUGAAACUUUGCAAACAGAGUCAUGUUUGUUUACAACAAAAGUACUUGAAAUAAAACUACAGCAUGUUAUUCUGUUGCCACUUUGUCAUUUAUUCUCAUUUUCAUAUGUUUUAAAUUAUGUUACAAAUUUAUUGAUAGCUUGGGAGAAAAUGCCAAUUUUGAUAUCUUUUUUCUUUCUUUUUCUUGUUAUUAUUUUUCUUUUCUUCCCCUGCUCCUUUCUUUCUUUUUAAUACACUCUUCUUUUGUUACCAUUGCAUUUAGUCCUUGAUAUAAGCAAUGACAAACUACCUAUCUCCAGUACAUGUCAGGUUAUCUUUGGAUUUUAUUUCUCCCUGUCUCAAAUGAAGC
rnacentral:lncRNA from 1 species